rnacentral:rRNA from 1 species
AGAGUUUGAUCCUGGCUCAGAACGAACGCUGGCGGCGUGGAUAAGACAUGCAAGUCGAACGAGAGAAUUGCUAGCUUGCUAAUAAUUCUCUAGUGGCGCACGGGUGAGUAACACGUGAGUAACCUGCCCCCGAGAGCGGGAUAGCCCUGGGAAACUGGGAUUAAUACCGCAUAGUAUCGAAAGAUUAAAGCAGCAAUGCGCUUGGGGAUGGGCUCGCGGCCUAUUAGUUAGUUGGUGAGGUAACGGCUCACCAAGGCGAUGACGGGUAGCCGGUCUGAGAGGAUGUCCGGCCACACUGGAACUGAGACACGGUCCAGACACCUACGGGUGGCAGCAGUCGAGAAUUAUUCACAAUGGGGGAAACCCUGAUGGUGUGACGCCGCGUGGGGGAAUGAAGGUCUUCGGAUUGUAAACCCCUGUCAUGUGGGAGCAAAUUAAAAAGAUAGUACCACAAGAGGAAGAGACGGCUAACUCUGUGCCAGCAGCCGCGGUAAUACAGAGGUCUCAAGCGUUGUUCGGAAUCACUGGGCGUAAAGCGUGCGUAGGCUGUUUCGUAAGUCGUGUGUGAAAGGCGCGGGCUCAACCCGCGGACGGCACAUGAUACUGCGAGACUAGAGUAAUGGAGGGGGAACCGGAAUUCUCGGUGUAGCAGUGAAAUGCGUAGAUAUCGAGAGGAACACUCGUGGCGAAGGCGGGUUCCUGGACAUUAACUGACGCUGAGGCACGAAGGCCAGGGGAGCGAAAGGGAUUAGAUACCCCUGUAGUCCUGGCAGUAAACGGUGCACGCUUGGUGUGCGGGGAAUCGACCCCCUGCGUGCCGGAGCUAACGCGUUAAGCGUGCCGCCUGGGGAGUACGGUCGCAAGAUUAAAACUCAAAGAAAUUGACGGGGACCCGCACAAGCGGUGGAGUAUGUGGCUUAAUUCGAUGCAACGCGAAGAACCUUACCUGGGCUUGACAUGUAAUGAACAACAUGUGAAAGCAUGCGACUCUUCGGAGGCGUUACACAGGUGCUGCAUGGCCGUCGUCAGCUCGUGUCGUGAGAUGUUUGGUUAAGUCCAGCAACGAGCGCAACCCCUGUUGCCAGUUACCAGCACGUGAAGGUGGGGACUCUGGCGAGACUGCCCAGAUCAACUGGGAGGAAGGUGGGGACGACGUCAGGUCAGUAUGGCCCUUAUGCCCAGGGCUGCACACGUACUACAAUGCCCAGUACAGAGGGGGCCGAAGCCGCGAGGCGGAGGAAAUCCUGAAAACUGGGCCCAGUUCGGACUGUAGGCUGCAACCCGCCUACACGAAGCCGGAAUCGCUAGUAAUGGCGCAUCAGCUACGGCGCCGUGAAUACGUUCCCGGGUCUUGCACUCACCGCCCGUCA